AUGGCCAAAUGAUGAAAAAGAUUCCUCAACUUCCAAUUCUGUAGCUUGUUUGUUCAGAAUCCCACCAAUAAAUUGCACUCAUAUGCACCAAGGUGCUCCCCACUAACAUAUCAUACUUGGGUAGGAUGUUGAUUGUGAAAAACUUUGAUGUCCAUAUCAUCUACUUUAGAAGUUGUAUAUUUAGCAAAACAACACCCUUCACCAUCUAAGAUUGCAGUACUUUUAUUAGGGAGCUCGAUGUCCAUGUCUCCAUGAAUUCCAAAUAAAAUUGUAGGAAUUGGAUUGAUUGAAAUUGGACUAGAAUCGAUUUCUUGUCCCUCUCCUGGUCAAGAUGGACUUCUUUCUUCACCUCAGAUUCCUG
rnacentral:misc_RNA from 1 species